rnacentral:rRNA from 1 species
UACGAGGGGGGCGAGCGUUGUUCGGAAUUAUUGGGCGUAAAGGGUGCGUAGGCGGUUCCGCAAGUCCUGUGUGAAAUCUUCGGGCUCAACUCGAAGUCUGCACGGGAAACUGCGGGGCUUGAGUGUGGGAGAGGUGAGUGGAAUUCCCGGUGUAGCGGUGAAAUGCGCAGAUAUCAGGAGGAACACCGGUGGCGAAGGCGGAUCUCUGGGCCGAUAUGAUCGCUGAGGAGCGAAAGCGUGGGGAGCGAACAGG